rnacentral:rRNA from 1 species
UAAACGACUCUCGGCAACGGAUAUCUUGGCUCACGCAUCGAUGAAGAACGUAGCAAAAUGCGAUACUUGGUGUGAAUUGCAGAAUCCCGUGAACCAUCGAGUUUUUGAACGCAAGUUGCGCCCGAAGCCUUCUGGUUGAGGGCACGUCUGCCUGGGCGUCACGC